rnacentral:rRNA from 1 species
GACGAACGCUGGCGGCGUGCCUAAUACAUGCAAGUCGAGCGGAUUGAUGGGAGCUUGCUCCCUGAUAUCAGCGGCGGACGGGUGAGUAACACGUGGGCAACCUGCCUAUAAGACUGGGAUAACUUCGGGAAACCGGAGCUAAUACCGGAUAAUCCCUUUCCUCUCAUGAGGAAAGGCUGAAAGAUGGUUUACGCUAUCCCUUAUAGGUGGGCCCGCGGCGCAUUAGCUAGUUGGUGAGGUAACGGCUCACCAAGGCAACGAUGCGUAGCCGACCUGAGAGGGUGAGCGGCCACACUGGGACUGAGACACGGCCCUGACUCAUACGGGAGGCAGCAGUAGGGAAUCUUCCGCAAUGGACGAAAGUCUGACGGAGCAACGCCGCGUGAGUGAUGAAGGUUUUCGGAUCGUAAAACUCUGUUGUUAGGGAAGAACAAGUACGAGAGUAACUGCUCGUACCUUGACGGUACCUAACCAGAAAGCCACGGCUAACUACGUGCCAGCCGCCGCCGUAA